rnacentral:lncRNA from 1 species
UGUUUGUUUCUUCAGUUUUUUUUCCUUUUAAACAGAACUCUCUUGUUAGAGGGCGGUAGUUUCCAUGUUACCUUUCAGUAAAAGGAAAACUGUUAUUAAAUAGCAUGACGGCAAAAAAAAAAAUUAUGGACAAGUACGCGCUAGUGUGUAUUUAGGCGAACAUACAAAAGAUGCUGUUGCUGCUAUUUAGCACCCGUAUGUUUUGGUCAGUUCGCGACAAAAGGGUUCAUCCGUAUGGCCGCUCGGGUACAUCCUUCUUUUAAAGGCCACGCAGACAUGCAUUCUCUUUCGGGUCAAAAGGCCACGUUUUAAAAGAGCGCAGAGAUGAAUGGCCAGUCCUUUCGAAUCCGACACGACGACGGAUGUGAUGUGAACCAUUCACCCAGAAAAGAACGAGCCAACGCGGAUAGGAUUUCAAUAUUCUUUUUGUCCAGUGAGAGCAAAUGGGUCAACAGUCGAUGACAAUUGACAAAGAGCAGCAUCGGCUAGCCUUAACAAACUGUGCAGUCAUAGAAAAACGGAAACCGACAGUGGCUGUUAUACUCAAUGAUCCAGCAGUGGCCGUCUGUUUCUCAUUUUGACAUGAAUCGAUGGAUCUCGUAGCCGAUUUUUCUUUUCUUUCAUUCUUCUCGUGAUCGAUUCCGAUGUUCGACAGGAAUUCCUCCCAGUAAUGGGCCAAACAGGCUCUACGCAUUCAUUGGCACAAUAGAAAAAAACAGGAGUUGAAUGAUGUACUUCUUUGGCUCGAGUAUUUGUGCGGAGAAGCGCCAAAAGAGCCCAGCAGGGGUAGGAGACUUCUUUCGGUUCACUAUUAAGAGUCUUGUAAAUACGCACCAGAGGGUGGUGCAAGGAAGAAAUGUCCCUGAGCAGUAAAAAAGAAAGAAAACAACAAAUGGUAGGCCAAGCAAAAGAGGCCUAUCCUAUUAUGUGGGAGGACAGUUACCAGUCGUAGCGAUACAUUACGUAAGUGACGCCCGUGAAAUCCGUCGAGUGUCGCUAGAGGCUGGUGGCCUCCAACACAAAGGGGAGGUUUCUUGCCUAAUCAAACGGAACAACUUACAUUUAAAAAAAAAAGAAAGAAGAAGAGGAAGUUGGACGAGGGCGUUUGCGAGCAGUAUUGUAACACACAGCAUAACAUUAGCCCAACUGUUGUCGUCUAUUAGCGAGCAAGCCUCCUCGAUCGACAGUUGGAUACACAAAAGACCUUCUUGUUGAUCGACAAAGUCUUCCAGCCAUCUGGAAUUUAAAGGAAAAUUAUAGGUAGACACAUUCAUGACUGUUUUCAACACUCGGAUCGCCUGUGGCGCGUGCAUCCGAGCGGACCAAUUUUUCUAGCAUCAAUGAACUCGACGAGACGGAAUAAACAAACCCCGUAUAUAUAUAGGAUUCGGUUCGUGACAAGGGCCGAAAGAAGACAUCUUCAAACCUAAGAUGACAAGAUGGAGCGCCAGCUGUCACGAACUAGAAGCUCACGAAGAUUCACACCCAUUUUUUCGUUCUUUAUAACAUUUUGAAUAAGGAGAACAGUCUCCAACGUUGGGAGAAGAAAGGAAAAAGUGAGCGUCAAGAAAUUUAUUGCUGAUGGGUGCAGCCGGAUUAUACGAAGAUGUACGAUACGUCGCAGGCCACUAUGAGAAAAGAAGGCGCCAGGUCUUUGCCGUAGCCGACCGAAUCUUUUCUUCCACAUUUAUAUUGAUUAUGGCGAGCGUGGUACACCAUGCGUAGCUACUACAUGAGUUGCGUGCAACGUGCGGUGCUAUAGCAAGAGGGCCGGAGGAAGAGGCAAGUAAGAUAAGAAGGCAAAUUAUUAUCAAAGAGAAGAGUGGCUAACAAAUCUCGGCCGACUUUAUCCGACUCUCCAAACUUUCAGCUUUAAUAAUGUCCACUAUUUUCCAAUAACGUCUGAUCCUCGAUUACAAGUACAAUAUCCUCAACUCGUAUACACACAAACUCGAGAGGCAAUAGAAGCCCACGCUUGACGCCGGCCCGUCCUUUCCUUUGAUAGCCAGUAAUAGGGGCGUUGAGCCAAACUUUGCUCGCCAUCCAUCCGACGAAUGUAUAGGCAAGACAAGUCAAAGGCUUCACUUUUAUUAUUUUCUCCUUCCUUUUGAUUAUAGCUGUGGCAAUCGUUUCGCCUUCAACGGCGUUUGAUUUGAACCAGCCACCGUCUUCCCAAGUAGAGUUAGCGCUAUAUAUACACACGUCAGGCUUCUCUUUCUUCGUCGUGACGUACGAAGAGUUUUCCACUGUGCUCUAUACGUCAUAGAUCAACCGUAUAUACGAAGUGUAUAAGGAUAUAGCGCAUUAUGUUAGGCGGAGCACAUUAAAGUGACCGGGUUCUAUUUGGUGGGGGGUGGUUGCUAAAAACUGACUCUUUUUGAUGUACAGUUCUUUUAUUUUUCCGGGAUUUUCCUCUGCGGCGUUAUACUGCGCGUGAUUUACAUCGUCAACCAGAAAAAAAGGGAGACGACGAAAUACUGACAAAAAUCCUUCCACUAAUUUACAUAAGGCAAUGGCAAUGUCGUCGUCUCCAUUAACGAUAACCAUCUGACAGUCACACAGGGCCAACCAUAAAGAUAAAUCACAAGCGGCGACUAUAUUCUAGCAGCAACUCGUCGUCGUUCAACGAAUAAAUCAUUUCUCUCUUCAAAAAAAUAAGAAAUGAAAUAAGGAGAAGGAAAAGUGGCUGGUGCUUGAUGAUAGCUGCUUUUGACCCCGACUGAUAUGUCUCGUUCCCUUUCAAGAAACUUUUUUUCUGGAGAUUUGUGACACAAAAAUGCGGCAGUCGCCACAGGCUUUGGUCGAGAACACUUUCGGAGAAAGGCGGGCGGACGUAAUAAUUCGAGGUAUGAAAGAACGGGAAUCGAUAACCGACCCUAUCGAGCUGACAAAUAAAAAACUAUAAAAAAAAAGCUCAAUUUUAAAUGCUGUGGUUAUCGGUCCCCCUUUUUUUUUUUAUUGGAUAUUCGGUCCAAUUGUUGUUUCUCUUUGAAUAUUUAUCCUUGUGCCGACACGAUCGGAACGCAUAUAGAAUUACAACAGCCGCCCCCAUCGAGAAUGAAGGCCGGCUGGAUUCAUCGCGUGAUCCUUCCUAUAUUUUUAUUUUGAGGGGCUGUUAAAAAUCGACGCCAAGCUGCGAUAUGUAUACCACCUCUGGUGGGGGGAGAGAGAUCAGUUUAUUUUAUUUUUUUGGAGCCGGUACCAUUUGGGAUCCUCCUCCUAAACGCCCACAAUACGUAACACAUCAUUGCUCAUUGUUAGUGGAUGACGAAGUAUCCGCGCAAUAUAUUACAGACAAAACAACAAGCGUAGGUCUACGCGAACCCACUAUGAUUCGAGCAUGACGCUGCAUUUCAAUGGAAACACUGGGAACCUCUUCGAUGGCCUCUUCGUCCUGUAUGUAAAGCAAAAUAAAAAGGAUGUUUUUAAAAUUCAUUGCACCUACGUGUAACGCUAUUUGACCCAUUUUU